rnacentral:tmRNA from 1 species
ACGGGGGUGUGGAAACCGGAUAAGCGAGCCGCAGUUUGUCCAGUCUGCGCUAAAAAGGACACGUUAAAUAUAAACGCUAAAAAUAACAACAAUUUCGCAUUAGCUGCGUAGCAGCACGCGCGUUCACCCGGAUUCACCUGCAGGUCCGGUGCUGAACGUCAAACAUGCAGGAAAACCUUGUGUGACUUCCCGGCAGCACAAGGGACUAACGGGAUAGCUGAGCUGAAAGCCUGCUUCUGGGCGUUUGGCAAAGCGAAAUCUUAAAACAGAAGCUGCGCUCGGAGAAAGUCUCGUGGAAAUGCUUUCGGACACGGGUUCGAAUCCCGUCAUCUCCACCA